UACAUGAAUCUUCAGACCUGAUCCAACCCA
rnacentral:piRNA from 1 species